GACGAACGCUGGCGGCGUGCUUAACACAUGCAAGUCGAACGGAAAGGCCCUGCUUUUGUUGGGUGCUCGAGUGGCGAACGGGUGAGUAACACGUGAGUAACCUGCCCUUUACUUUGGGAUAACUUCAGGAAACUGGGUCUAAUACCGUAUAGGAGCUCCUGCUGCAUGGUGGGGGUUGGAAAGUUUCGGCGGUUGGGGAUGGACUCGCGGGUUAUCAGCUUGUUGUUGGGGUAGUGGCUUACCAAGGCUUUGACGGGUAGCCGGCCUGAGAGGGUGACCGGCGACAUUGGGACUGAGAUACGGCCCAGACACGUACGGGAGGCAGCAGUGGGGAAUAUUGCAGAAUGGGCGGAAGCAUGAUGCAGCAACGCCGCGUGCGGGAUGACGGCCUUCGGGUUGUAAACCGCUUUAGCCUGUGACGAAGCGUGAGUGACGGUAAUGGGUAAAGAAGCACCGGCUAACUACGUG
rnacentral:rRNA from 1 species